UACGGGGGGGGCAAGCGUUGUUCGGAAUUACUGGGCGUAAAGGGCUCGUAGGCGGCCAACUAAGUCGGAUGUGAAAUCCCCAGGCUUAACCUGGGAACUGCAUCCGAUACUGGAUGGCUUGAAUUCGGGAGAGGGAUGCAGAAUUCCAGGUGUAGCGGUGAAAUGCGUAGAUAUCUGGAGGAACACCGGUGGCGAAGGCGGCAUCCUGGACCGACACUGACGCUGAGGAGCGAAAGCCAGGGGAGCAAACGGG
rnacentral:rRNA from 1 species